rnacentral:lncRNA from 1 species
CCGAAAUCACCAAAAGAGUAGGAAAAAAGAAGAAAAGUAGAAGAUGACUAAUGAAACCAAGAAUGUGUUGCCAGAGAUAAAAGUUGCGGUAUCUCUGUUUGAAAUGACAUACCGAAUUGUUCAACCCCAGAUCACCGGAGAAUCGAUCAUCGAGAAAGUGACAUCAUGCAUGUCAUUCUAAGACUGCUGUCUUUUAACUUGUGUCACAUCAGUCUCAUAAUGUCCACUGUCAAACAAGCUUUUACAGUCUCUCUCUAUGGCUUUAGUAUCUCUGCUUCUCCAAAUGGUCCUUCUCUGACUCCUUUGAGUAAGCACGUUUAAACUUACUCUAUUGCCCAUUAUUUUUCAGUACCUUGUUGAGUAUAUGGUAUUUUUAUAAUUCAAGACAUUGAAUUAGAAAUGGAACAAAAUGAGAACACUUGAACCAACUUUUGGUUUAGGACAGCGUGUUAAGUGAUAUGACUAUAAUGCCUCACAAAAAAAAAAAAAAAAAAAAAAAACGUUGCAGCUUAAUUAUAAUGGUUGUGAGGUGUUGAUGACAUUGAGGCAAUGGUGAAAAUGUGAUUUGAAUGAACAAAGCAAAAGUGGUUGAGUAAUUUGAAUUUGUGCUGAUUAGGUCCUUAGUAGGAGUCUAAGCAAUUUAUUCCUUGCUUCAACUGCCAAUCAACAUGUUGAAGGUACUUCGUAAAUCUCUUGUGAUUCCUUCGAGGAAUCGCUCAUGGCUUGUUUUUGCUGUGGAUUAGGUAAUUGAUGAAUUGGCCAAAUAUAUAUUCGUGUGACAAAGUAUAAUUAUAUCUACUUGGUCAUUAAUUGAUAUUCUUACUUUUGUUGCGGGUUAGACGGAUAAAUAAAGUUACGUGCUUUUCAAUAAGAACAUCCUUUGAGAUCCUAACAAGGGGAGUACGCCACAUUAAUGUGCAUCGGAUGCUCAAGUCAACAUUGAUGAGCACAUUAAAUUAUCCAUAUGGCUGAGAUCCAUCAAAGUUGAGACACGAUGAAUUAACAAUUCAUAGAUGAACAAAAUGGAGAAAAGGCAUGUAAACACAGUAUUAAAAAGAGCCAUGUUUGUUAUGAAAUAUAUGAAAUAUGUUGUUAUUACAAUAAUUGACGCAUGUGAAGUGGAGACUAGGAUUCCUUUUUUAUUGAUUUAGACACGAGUAUUGUAAGAUGGAUAAUGUUACGAUGCAGAUAAUACAGAUUCAGCAACUUCCAUAGCUACCACAUCUUUAGCCAAGACAGUAGCCAAGUUCGCUGCUCCUGUAACAGCCCAGUAGCGUUUAUAUCUUUUCGAACUAUUGUAAAAUUCAGUUGCAAUGCUGUUGCUCUGUCUAUAAAUGUAAACACAUUUCAUUUGAUGUUAAUCAAUACUGAGAGUUCAUCUUCUUCCCAAUUUUCGUUUAUGGCUUCUAACUCAAUAUGAGGUUCUUAAUUCAGAACUUUUACAUGGUAUCAAAGAUAUUUUUUCUUCAAUACCUGCAUCUAAGGUUCUGAUAUUUCAAUUUUCUCCCUGAGUAAAAACGAACCAUGGUGAAGUUUCUUUUCAAUCAUGCUGACGAUCUAACUAGUCAUUACUUUUUUGCAUCUAAAUGAUAACCCUAGUGCUUUGAUUGUCUCUGAGGUCUUCAAUGGAGACAAUUACACUUUUUUGGAGCCACUCAAUCUCUAUGGAACUAAGUAUAAAGAAUAAGUCAGCCUUCAUUGAUGGUUCUUUACCAGCUCCAAGUCCAUCGAGUGGUUUAUAUACAAUUAUUGGAUACGUGCUAACAAUUUGUUACUAUAUUGGUUGUUAAAUUCAGUCAACAAAGAAAUUCAUCAAAGUUUGCUGUAUAUUUCAUCUGCUUAUGAAGUAUGGAAUGAACUCAAAACUAGAUACAUUCAAAGUGAUGGUCCUAGAGUAUAUCACUUGGAGAAAUCUCUCAACUCCAUUCUCAAGGCUUAUAGACAUCAACCACAUAUUACAAUUCAAUCAAGGCCACUUAGGACGAGUACAUCAGCUGUAGCCUAUUCCAAAAAUGUAGUUGUGGAAUGCUUUUCAGCUGCACUUGUGAUAUACUAUGCAGCAUAUCCAAUGCACAACAAUCAGAUGUGGUUAUGAAGUUUCUCAAUGGUCUAAAUGAAUUCUAUCUGCAUUAAGAAGCCAGUUGUUGCUAACUUGAGUAUAUGCUCUUCUUCUUCGAGAAGAANCCAAUUUUCGUUUAUGGCUUCUAACUCAAUAUGAGGUUCUUAAUUCAGAACUUUUAAAUGGUAUCAAAGAUAUUUUUUCUUCAAUACCUGCAACUAAGGUUCUGAUAUUUCAAUUUUCUGCCCGAGUAAAAACAAACCAUGGUGAAGUUUCUUUUCAAUCUUGUCGAUGAUCUAUCUAGUCAUUACUUUUUUGCAUCUAAGUGAUAACCCUAGUGCUUUGAUUGUCUCUGAGGUCUUCAAUGGAGACAAUUACACUUCUUGGAGCUACUCAAUCUCUAUAGAACUAAGUGUAAAGAAUAAGUCAACCUUCACUGAUGGUUCUUUACUAGCUCCAAGUCCAUCGAGUGGUUUAUAUACAAUUAUUGGAUACGUGCUAACAAUUUGUUACUAUAUUGGUUGUUAAAUUCAGUCAACAAAGAAAUUCAUCAAAGUUUGCUGUAUAUUUCAUCUGCUUAUGAAGUAUAGAAUGAACUCAAAACUAGAUACAUUCAAAGUGAUGGUCCUAGAGUAUAUCACUUGGAGAAAUCUCUUAACUCCAUUUCUCAAGGCUUAUAGACAUUAACCACAUAUUACAAUUCAAUCAAGGCUUCUUAGGACGAGUACAUUAGCUGUAGCCUAUUCCAAAAAUGUAGUUGUGGAAUGCUUUUCAGCUGCACCUGUGAUAUACUAUGCAACAUAUCCAAUGCAAAACAAUCAGAUGUGGUCAUGAAGUUUCUCAAUGGCCUAAAUGAAUUCUAUCUGCAUUAAGAAGCCAGUUGUUGCUAACUCGAGUAUAUGCUCUUCUUCUUCGAGAAGAAAUCCAGUGAGUACUGAAUACUCACUCAUUCCCAGAAUCAGUUGCAAUAACAGCUAGACAACCUUCUAGAGCAUUUAAUAAACCUCCAUCUUGGAAGGAUAAAAAGAAUCCUAAAUAUACUCAUUGUAGUCAUCUCAGUCACACUACAGAGAAGUGUUUUUAGCUCAUAGGCUGUCCCCCCGUCUGGAAAGGUCCUAGAGGAUCCCAAAUGCUAGUUGAUACUCCUGUUGCUUAUGCUGUAACAAUAGGCCAACCUAACGAUGUUGGGAGACCAAGUAAUCCAUUCAAUCAAGAUCUUUAGCAACAGUUCCUAACCUUUACCAAGACUCAGCAAACACCAUCUCCAAGAACACAUAACCCAACAGCAGCCACCGAUACAGUAGCUAUUUCCUUCUGUGAUAACUCUUUCAAACCAAGGACCACUUCUUGGAUAAUUGAUACAGGUGCAAUAGAUCACAAAAUCUGUUUACCUAACUUUUUACUUCGAUUGAUUCAAACACAAUUAGCAAUGUUCACUUACCAAAUGGCUCCCUUGUACCAUUCAGUCACAUUGGCAAAGUCCAAAUUUCUAACAGCCUAACUCUUGACAUUGUCUUCCGCGUAUCUUCAUUUUCAUUCAACCUUAUCUCACUUUUCAAAUUAACAGUCUUCUUAUUGUAUAUUAUUUUUUGCCUCUCAUUAUUUUGUACAGGAUCCGUCCAGCUUGAAGAUGACUGGUUUUGCUAAGGAAAAAGGGAGCUUAUAUCACCUAUUGAUUAGUCACGCUCAACCUAUAGCUCAAUCUAUCACCAAUCCAGCAAUACAUGCCUCUCAACAUUCUACUAUAACCUAUGGCAUCACAGGCUUGGGUAUAUAUCUAAUGCAAUAAUGUCUAAAAUCCCACAGUUUACUUCUCAAAUAUCUUGUAUUAAUUUACAUAUAUGUGAAGUUUGUCCUGUGGCAAAACAAAAGAAAUUGCCCUUUUCUAUUGAUGAUUCAAUAUUUGAUUUAGUCCAUUGUGACAUUUGGGGUUCAUUUAGUGUGCAAUCUUUCAAUGGUUACAUAUUGUUCCUUACUUGAUGAUUAUUCUAGAUACAGAUGGGUUUUCAUGAUGCAAUCCAAAUCUGAAACUCAUAGCCAUAGCAAAAACUUCUACCAAAUGGUCAUUACUCACUUCAAUACCAAAAUAAAAUCUAUUAGAUCAUACAAUGGUGUUGAAUUCCCCAUGACAGACUUUUACCAAUCUUAUGGGAUCUUCCAUCAGAAAAAGCUAUGUGGAAUCAUCCCAAAAAAAUAGAAUAGUGGAAAGAAAACACCAAUAUAUCCUAUAAAUACCUAGAGUGUUCCUUCUCCAAUCAAAUGUUCCUCAUUUUUUGGAGCAAUUGCGCACUUACAAUAGUCCACAUCAUAAACCGCAUACCACAGCCAUUCUCGGCAACAAGACACCUUAAAAAGUACUAUUUCAAAAACAACCUAACUACCACCACUUCAAAACCUUUUACUGUCUUUGCUUUGUAUCUACAAUCUGUGCUCAUAGAANUUCAGAACUUUUAAAUGGUAUCAAAGAUAUUUUUUCUUCAAUACCUGCAACUAAGGUUCUGAUAUUUCAAUUUUCUGCCCGAGUAAAAACAAACCAUGGUGAAGUUUCUUUUCAAUCUUGUCGAUGAUCUAUCUAGUCAUUACUUUUUUGCAUCUAAGUGAUAACCCUAGUGCUUUGAUUGUCUCUGAGGUCUUCAAUGGAGACAAUUACACUUCUUGGAGCUACUCAAUCUCUAUAGAACUAAGUGUAAAGAAUAAGUCAACCUUCACUGAUGGUUCUUUACUAGCUCCAAGUCCAUCGAGUGGUUUAUAUACAAUUAUUGGAUACGUGCUAACAAUUUGUUACUAUAUUGGUUGUUAAAUUCAGUCAACAAAGAAAUUCAUCAAAGUUUGCUGUAUAUUUCAUCUGCUUAUGAAGUAUGGAAUGAACUCAAAACUAGAUACAUUCAAAGUGAUGGUCCUAGAGUAUAUCACUUGGAGAAAUCUCUCAACUCCAUUCUCAAGGCUUAUAGACAUCAACCACAUAUUACAAUUCAAUCAAGGCCACUUAGGACGAGUACAUCAGCUGUAGCCUAUUCCAAAAAUGUAGUUGUGGAAUGCUUUUCAGCUGCACUUGUGAUAUACUAUGCAGCAUAUCCAAUGCACAACAAUCAGAUGUGGUUAUGAAGUUUCUCAAUGGUCUAAAUGAAUUCUAUCUGCAUUAAGAAGCCAGUUGUUGCUAACUUGAGUAUAUGCUCUUCUUCUUCGAGAAGAAAGCCAACAAGUCCUGCAUACUCACUCAUUCCUAGAAUCAGUUGCAAUAGCAGCUAGACAACCUCCUAGAGCAUUUAAUAAACGUCCAUUUUGGAAGGAUAAAAAGUAUCUUAUAUAUACUCAUUAUGGUCAUCUUAGUCACACUACAGAGAACUGUUUUUAGCUCAUAGGCUGUCCCCCGGUCUGGAAAGGUCCUAAAGGAUCAUGAAUGCUAGUUGAUACUCCUGUUCCUUAUGCUGUAACAAUAGGCCAACCUACAGAUGACGGGAGACCAAGUAAUCCAUUCAAUCAAGAUCUUUAGCAACAGUUCCUAACCUUUACCAAGACUCAGCAAACACCAUCUCCAAGAACACAUUACCUCACAGCAGCCACUAGUCAACAGGUAUUUCCUUCUGUGAUAACUCUUUCAAACCAAGGACCAUUUCUUGGAUAAUUGAUAAAGGUGCAACAGAUCACAAAAUCUGUUUACCUAACCUUUUUACUCCCAUUGAUUCAACCACAAUUAGCAAUGUUCACUUACCAAAUGGCUCCCUUGUACCAGUCAGUCACAUUGGCAAAGUCCAAAUUUUUAACAGCCUAACUCUUGACAUUGUCCUUCACGUAUCUUCAUUUUCAUUCAACCUUAUCUCAGGUUUCAAAUUAAUAGUCUUCUUAUUGUAUAUUAUUUUUUGCCUCUCAUUAUUUUGUACAGGAUCUGUCCAGCUUGAAGACGACUGGUUUUGCUAAGGAAAAAAAGGGGGCUUAUAUCACCUACUGAUUGGUCAUGAUCAACCUAUAUCUCAAUCUAUCACCAAUCUAGCAGUAUAUGCCUCUCAACAUUCCAUCUAUAACCUAUGGCAUCACAGGCUUGGGCAUAUAUCCAAUGCAGGAAUGUCUAAAAUCCCAC